UGCUUAACAGCUAGCCCCCUCUACCAAGAACAACAACUCAAUAUUAAUAACCCCCAAUUUACUAUUAACCUCUAAACAAACCAUUUUUCCCCCCAAGUAUGGGCGACAGAAAAGGGCCACAGGAGCGAUAGAGAAAGUACCGCAAGGGAACGCUGAAAGAGAAAUGAAAAAACCCAGUAAAGCUUAAAAAAGCAGAGGCUAACCCUCGUACCUUUUGCAUCAUGAUUUAGCCAGUGUUGACCAAGCAAAAUGAAUUUUAGUUUGACAGCCCGAAACUAAGUGAGCUACUCCAAGACAGCCUAUUAAUAGGGCCAACCCGUCUCUGUGGCAAAAGAGUGGGAAGAGCUUCGAGUAGAGGUGAUAGACCUACCGAACCUAGUUAUAGCUGGUUGCCUGAGAAUUGAAUAGAAGUUCAGCCUCCCGGGUUCUUUUUUCACUACGGAAUAACCCCUCCCUGAUAACCCUUUAAGAAACCGCGAGAGUUAGUCGAAGGGGGUACAGCCCCUUUGAACCAAGACACAACUUUUAUAGGAGGUUAAAGAUCAUACCAAAUUAAAGGCAUAAUGUUUUGGUGGGCCUAAAAGCAGCCAUCCCUACAGAAAGCGUUAAAGCUCAGACAUAUAGUAAAACCCUACUUAUAAUGAUCAUAAAAUCUUAUACCCCUAGUACUACCAGGCCGUUCCAUGCCCCCAUGGAAGCGACUAUGCUAAUAUGAGUAAUAAGAGAGCUCCGCCUCUCUCCCUGCACACGUGUAAGUCGGAACGGACUCCCCGCCGACCCUUAACGGCCCCAAAUAAAGAGGGUAAUGAAUUAUGGUAUAGACAACUAGAAAAACCUCCAACAACACAACCGUUAACCCCACACAGGUGUGCCCCCCGGGAAAGACUAAAAGAAAGAGAAGGAACUCGGCAAACACAUUUAAAGCCUCGCCUGUUUACCAAAAACAUCGCCUCUUGCAAAAAUAACAAAUAAGAGGUCCCGCCUGCCCUGUGACUAUAAGUUUAACGGCCGCGGUAUUUUGACCGUGCGAAGGUAGCGCAAUCACUUGUCUUUUAAAUGAAGACCUGUAUGAAUGGCAUAACGAGGGCUUAACUGUCUCCUCUUUCAAGUCAAUGAAAUUGAUCUCCCCGUGCAGAAGCGGGGAUAACCUCAUAAGACGAGAAGACCCUAUGGAGCUUUAGACACCAAAGGAGAUCAUGUUUAAACACCCUUCAAUAAUAGGCUAAACCAAAUGAAUCCUCCCCUAAUGUCUUUGGUUGGGGCGACCGCGGGGAAAGAAAAAACCCCCAUGUGGAAUGGGAGAACCCCUCCUAAAACUAAGAGCUUCUGCUCUAAGUAACAGAACAUCUGACCAGCAAGAUCCGGCAAUGCCGAUCAACGGACCGAGUUACCCUAGGGAUAACAGCGCAAUCCCCUUUUAGAGCCCAUAUCGACAAGGGGGUUUACGACCUCGAUGUUGGAUCAGGACAUCCUAAUGGUGCAGCCGCUAUUAAGGGUUCGUUUGUUCAACGAUUAAAGUCCUACGUGAUCUGAGUUCAGACCGGAGUAAUCCAGGUCAGUUUCUAUCUAUGAUAUGAUCUUUUCUAGUACGAAAGGACCGAAAAGAAGAGGCCCAUACCUCAGGCACGCCUCACCCCCACCUAAUGAAGACAACUAAAAUAGGCAACUGGGCAUGCCCCGCCGCCUAAGAAAACGGCAU
rnacentral:rRNA from 1 species